GACGAAGGGGGCUAGCGUUGUUCGGAAUUACUGGGCGUAAAGCGAGUGUAGGUGGUUGUCCAAGUUGGAUGUGAAAGCCUUGAGCUCAACUCAAGAAAUGCAUUCAGGACUGGAUGGCUAGAGGACCGGAGAGGAUAGUGGAAUUCCCAGUGUAGUGGUGAAAUACGUAGAGAUUGGGAAGAACACCAGUGGCGAAGGCGGCUAUCUGGACGGUUUCUGACACUAAGACUCGAAAGCGUGGGGAGCAAACGGG
rnacentral:rRNA from 1 species